GAGUUUGAUCCUGGCUCAGGAUGAACGCUGGCGGCGUGCUUAACACAUGCAAGUCGAACGAACCUUCGGGUUAGUGGCGGACGGGUGAGUAACGCGUGGGAAUCUGCCCUCAGGAGGGGGAUAACGGCUGGAAACGGCCGCUAAUACCCCAUAUGCCGAGAGGUGAAAUGAAUUUCGCCUGAGGAUGAGCCCGCGUCUGAUUAGCUAGUUGGUGAGGUAAGAGCUCACCAAGGCAUCGAUCAGUAGCUGGUCUGAGAGGAUGAUCAGCCACACUGGGACUGAGACACGGCCCAGACCCCUACGGGAGGCAGCAGUGGGGAAUUUUCCGCAAUGGGCGAAAGCCUGACGGAGCAACGCCGCGUGAGGGAUGGAGGCCUCUGGGCUGUAAACCUCUUUUCUCAAGGAAGAAGAUCUGACGGUACUUGAGGAAUAAGCCACGGCUAAUUCCGUGCCAGCAGCCGCGGUAAUACGGGAGUGGCAAGCGUUAUCCGGAAUUAUUGGGCGUAAAGCGUCCGCAGGCGGCCCUUCAAGUCUGCUGUUAAAAAGUGGAGCUUAACUCCAUCAUGGCAGUGGAAACUGUUGGGCUUGAGUGUGGUAGGGGCAGAGGGAAUUCCCGGUGUAGCGGUGAAAUGCGUAGAUAUCGGGAAGAACACCAGUGGCGAAGGCGCUCUGCUGGGCCAUAACUGACGCUCAUGGACGAAAGCCAGGGGAGCGAAAGGGAUUAGAUACCCCUGUAGUCCUGGCCGUAAACGAUGAACACUAGGUGUCGGGGGAAUCGACCCCCUCGGUGUCGUAGCCAACGCGUUAAGUGUUCCGCCUGGGGAGUACGCACGCAAGUGUGAAACUCAAAGGAAUUGACGGGGGCCCGCACAAGCGGUGGAGUAUGUGGUUUAAUUCGAUGCAACGCGAAGAACCUUACCAGGGUUUGACAUCCUGCGAACCUCUUGGAAACGAGAGGGUGCCUUCGGGAACGCAGUGACAGGUGGUGCAUGGCUGUCGUCAGCUCGUGUCGUGAGAUGUUGGGUUAAGUCCCGCAACGAGCGCAACCCACGUCUUUAGUUGCCAGCAUUUAGUUGGGCACUCUAGAGAGACCGCCGGUGAUAAACCGGAGGAAGGUGUGGAUGACGUCAAGUCAUCAUGCCCCUUACAUCCUGGGCUACACACGUACUACAAUGCUACGGACAAAGAGCAGCAAGUUCGCGAGGACAAGCAAAUCUCAUAAACCGUGGCUCAGUUCAGAUCGUAGGCUGCAACUCGCCUACGUGAAGGAGGAAUCGCUAGUAAUCGCAGGUCAGCAUACUGCGGUGAAUACGUUCCCGGGCCUUGUACACACCGCCCGUCACACCAUGGAAGUUGGCCACGCCCGAAGCCGUUACUCCAACCCUCGGGAGGAGGACGUCGAAGGUGGGGCUGAUGACUGGGGUGAAGUCGUAACAAGGUAGCCGUA
rnacentral:rRNA from 1 species